AUGACUCUGCUCCAACCACCCCAGGUUGGUAUCUGGGCAGGUCUCUGGGGCCCAGGCACCUGCUGCCUUGCUGCUGUUUUGGAGCUGUGGGCACUGGCGAGUCCUGCACCAGUGGAGGAAUUCAGCAUCAGGGAAAGAAAACUGAGCAUUGGCAAGUCCUUGGAGGGCGAUGUGGCACAAGGAUGACGGGCGGGCCCUUUCCAACAGGGAGCAGCGCCUGGAGGCUCCGCCCGCGCUGCCGGCCGUGGCCGCCAGAGGGCGCCUGAGACCGCGGGCGGCGCGCGGCUGCAGUGCCAGGAAGGGCCGCCAGGCGGCGCCAGGGCCGAAGGGGUCGCGCGUCCCCUCAGGGCGCGGCGGGACCCGCGCGGGGCUCUCGGGUCGGGGCCGUCAGGGCCCCUCCGUUAACUCCGAGAUCAGCCGGUCCACAUCCCAUCCCUGUAACUUCGCGGCAGCAGCGCCCCAGUGCCGUGCAGGCGGUCCCGCUCCUUCCCGGCCGCUGCUCCGGCGGAGAACGCGGCUCUUCCCGCGCCUGGCUCUGCGCACUCGGAGUGGCGAAGACUCGGCCCUACCUGGGCCGGUCUGGCCGCUCCCAGAACAACCGGCCUUUGCCAGCUGGGACAGCAAUGGACGGGGCAGAUGGAAUGCCAGCUGAUACCUACCUGCCAGUCUUUCCAAAGAUAGAAGGAAAUGCCCAUGUGCCCAAUGGAGGUGGAGAGCUGAUCUGAAAAAAGCAAACGAUCUUUCAAAGAAACAUUUUUUGGAGGAACAUACCCCAAGUUCUUGAGCAGUUUGGAACAGGGCUAUUGUACCCGUGCCAAGGGUCACAACUGCUUCAAGAUGUGUGAGACAACAAUCAAGAGGGUUGAGGGAUGUUGCUUCGUUGAAGAUAUUUUCUGCUGAGGAGUGCUCCAUCGGUGAAAUGUCAUCUGCUUCCUCCAGUCCCUGUUCUCUUCUCAGGAUCCUUUGUCCAGGUUGUUACUGAAUCACAGAUCAAUUGGGGUUGGAAGAGACCUCUGGAGGUUACCUGGUCCAAUCUCCUGCUCAGGCAAGGCCAUCAAGAUCCAGUAGUUGCCCAGGACCAUGUCCAGAAAGCUUUUGAGUAUCUCCCAGAUACGACUUUCACAUCCUGCAUUUGUGGAUCUGUCUGUACCAGAAAGUUGAAUCUGUCUGCUGCAACAUUGCCACCCAUCUGAUACCACCAAGUCUAUGGGUCAUUAUUUAUUUCUAGUUGCGUAUUUCUGUGAUUGCAAAUCCUGUGCAACAGCAUAUGUAAGGGAGAAUAUUUCUGUUCAUUCAUCUCUCAGGUAAAUACAGACAGAAGAUCUAAAUACCGCUGCACUGAACCAUCCCUACAGACAACUGCUCACUCAUACGUGGAGUCAUUUAUGAAUCCACCUUCCCUCAGCAAGUGCUCAGAGUGCAUACUUGCUCCCACUCCACAAAACAUCUGCCUUGGAUUUACUGUCAAGAAAAAGGAAAAGCAAAAAACAUGUCUAGUGUGAUUCCUUGUGACACACUGCAGUUAUCCUGAAAAACUGUACUGACCGAUUGAAUCUUCAGAAGCUGCAGCAGCUUUGCUUUUUAACAGGCUCCAGCUACUCACCCACAGAAACCUAUGGUCAUCCUUGACAUCAACUGUUCUGAGGUGUCUCUAACAUGCUCCUAAAUCCAAAUCCAAAUUAAACCUGGCUAAGGAAAGCACACAAACAGAUGGACAUCUCAAGGAAGUCUUGCUGUGUGUUUUUCGCAGAACAGCUCAUUGUUUAUAUUAUAAAAUGGGGGCUUCUGAAAGUUAUACAGCCUUUGCCUAUGGGCAAUUAACACUAAAAAUUAUGGGAAUAUUGCCAUGGAUAUGGGUAAAAAAAAAAACCAACAGUGCAAAAACAAAAAAGGAAAAAUUACUCUGAAAAAUAGUCAAGAAAAAAUUCCAGUACAAUGCCUUUGCCUGCCUCAGACAACAGCUUGAGCAGGUAACCAACACUGUGAUACUAAGAGGAAAUGGCUUUACACCUUACUCACAGUAGUUAAUCAGUCAUGAGUGAUGACUGUUGCAACAGGAAUGCGCUAAUGGUACACCUGCCAACACAGAGCCCCACAGGCCUGCUCUGCAGAGAGGGGAGAGGGGCUGUGGGCAACCACAAAGGGGUAACAUUUCACACAUGCUGCAUGCAACUGGGCAUUCCCUUUCUUUAGGGGCAUCCACGCCAAGCAGUUCCCUGCCUAAUCAUGUACUGGCACAGCCUGGGGACAGACAGGACAGCAGCUCCCUCUAGAGCCAAGCUGCAAGCUCACCGGGAAGCAAGUGAUAAGGUGCUUGGGGAUGCUCUUACUACUUUCCGAAAUGUGGUUCACCAUUGUGUGGUUCACCAUCAGGUCCGAGACAGCAGAAACACCACUGCAGGGAAAGGUGACCUGGGACUGCUUCACUUGGCACUGGUGCCAAGAGCAGCAUCCCUCAAGCAAUGGCCUGAGGCACACAAACAAGCCCUCAGCUUGGGAUUUGGUAAAGCCAGCUUCAGAGCAACUUGCCCAUGGCAUUGUACCUAAUUCAGUAUGUAAUGGAGAUGUGACUUCAUGCACCACAUCAAGUGCCAAGAAUAGUUUAGCUGUAAAGCUAAACUAGAAUACAGUUUAGCUGUAAAGCUCUCUUUUCCUCAGAGCUGUCAGCAGCGAAAUUCAUCCCAAAGCAGACCAGUAUUCAGCUGCAGCACUCCCUGGUGUUGGGAGCAAUGAUGAAAGAUGCUGCUGCCACACAGCAUCAUACGCGCUGUACCAGAGGCAGUGUCUGUCACAACCAACACUCCACGUUCCUCAGGGGAGCUCCAGUGAAACCGGCAAUUGCUGGUCACAGAUGUGUCCCCCACAGCACCUUGCUGUUAGCGCAGGGGAGUUCAGUGGGCUCCACAUGAUCUCCCUGCUUGACUCCACCUGCCCAGAGUCCCCCGCCUCUCGAAAAGCAAAUGUCUCACUUACUAACUGCUUAAGAGGUAGCUGAAGCUACAAAGCUGACCUCCACCUUUCCCAAAUGUGGUUCAAGCACAUGCAUCCCUGAUGCCCAUCUGCCCAGUGUGGUGGGCUGAGGCAAGGAACACUGCACAAGCUGCUCCCUCAAGCAGGACUGGAACAUGUGGGACCAAGAACCAGUUUGGCCCACAAGUACUUAUUGACAUCCCACAGACAGAAGGGAUUGACACAAUGCAGUAGAACGUCUCCCUCAAGAGGUUGCCUACAGCCCCUUUAAUUCCUUUUAAACAGCAUUGCUGCCAAAGACAUCACCUUCUUGACCUCAAAUUUCUGAAAUCUUGACAAAAAUAUAUUUUUGAGCACAAAAAAGUAAGGCUUGAUGGCCCAAUUUAGUAAUGGUUUCCUAAAGCUAGACAAGUCAAGCAGAAAAUCAUCGGUGUUGACUGAAUAAACAAGGCAACAUUGAGGGUGAGGGAAGUCCAAGGGAACGGAUACAACAAUCUGGUCGGAAAAAUAAGAAAGAACUGAAUUAUGCACAAGAGCUCGUAGGAGGUGAUAAGGGAUGACACAGCAAAAGAUAAGGCCAAAAUAACAACCAUGGAUGCUUAUUUUAGCAGUUCCUGGUUUCUAGUGGGGAGUGCCAAUCAGGCUAGAAGUUACAACAAUAAGGGUAGGAAAUGAGGUAAAGCUGAGCAAAAGUUAAGUAUAGGAACCAGCAGAAGAGGGCGGAUUAAGAAACAAGUUUAUACAAGCUUUUAUAAGGAAGUGACUAUGUAAAAUGAUGUGGUUUUUUUGUUUGGUUCUGAUUUUUUAAAAUCUCAUCCUAUUUUCUCUAGUGCUUGCGUCACAUCUCAUUACCUGAGAUACAAAAUUUUUGUUAAUACUUCCCAGAGAGUAAAGCAGUUUUGGUUUUGGUUUUUUAUGCUUCAAGCUGCUAUCUGAUGAAUAAAGAUUAUUAUUGCAUGUUAUAUAUUAAUUUGUAAAGAACACAGUUUAAUUUUAUGGUUGCAAGCUAACUUUGACUUGCAAAGCAUUGGAGCAAACUGGUCUGAAGUCUGGAAGGACAAUGCCUCUGCAUGAUCCUUCUGCACAGAACAGCCCUGUGCGAGAGCAAAGAUUCUCCCUUUUUUGGGGGAUAUGUCUCUGCUGAGGUUUAACAUGCACAUCCCCUCCCAAGUAUUUAAUCUGAAGGGCUCCAGCAACUAUACUUCUACACUUCCUUCAUUUCUUUAUUUGUAACUGUAGUAAUUUCUGCAGGUACAAAACAUAGUGUGACCAUAACCAAAACUCCUCCCUGAAGUUUCAAUCAACAGUUCAUACAAUAUUAAGUAUUUCAAAACAAGAUUCAUUCUUCCUGUGAAUAUACUGCUUUACCAUUCCCACGGAGCAUUUCUUGACAUAUUUCCUUAUUUAAAGCCUUUAUAGUACAACAUAAACGUAGUACCAGAUAAGAUCACACUGGUCACAGAUACGCAGUACAGCUGUUUAAGACUCCUGCUUCAUUCAAAAGCAGCUUGCUUACUCCAGGUGCUGCAGAUGCUCCUGCACUAGCACCAACUAAAUCUCUAAGAUCAUUCCAAGCUGAAACACAGCUUGUAAAGGACAAGACACUGUGAGCAAGGGAAGUCCCUUCAGCCCACGAACAUGCCCUUCUCAGGGCCGCUGAUGCAUGGCACGGAUGCCUUCGGAAACCUGGAAGAGAACAGCAAGCAAUGAGACACCAGAGAGGAAGAUGUUCAAGGCAUGACGAGCACCUGUUAGGGUCAGGCAACAGGGCACUUGUCCAGAAAUCCACUGAAUUAGGUAAAUACUGAAAGCACUGUGCUGCUUUCAGUAUUCUGCAAAAGCUAAGAAUUCUCACUGAGAACUCCAUUUAGAGAUAGCCCUCAGUGCAGCAUCUCCUCAACACAUGGUAGAAAGCUGUUCAGGCUACCCUGACCCGGCCUAGAGAGCACAGAACAUGGUAUCCUGUGCUCACUACUCCUCUCUUCAGCUCUCAAGAGGUGAUGGAGUAGCCUGAAGUUAGAUGUGACAAGAUGCAAAGCACGCAGAUCUAUCAGCCUGGGAUUUGGAACAUCUGUAAUGCCCUGGGCUUUCCUGCUGCCCUGUACCACUGCAAUCUGUACCUCUGCAACUCAGCAACAGGCAUUUUUCCUGAGAGCAACCUGUGUGUCACUUUUAUUAUAAAGACUAAUGAAUGCAGUGAGACAAAGGUAUAGAAGGUAUUAUUUUCCUUUGGGAAAAUCUGAGUUAAUUAAAUAAAUGCAUUAGAUGUGUUUCAAACACAACAGGAAUACUACUCAACCUUUCAACCAUGUCUCUGCAAAGUGUAACAGACUUCAGAUAAACCAUCAGCUAUGGCAAAAAAACCAGUUUGGAUUCCAGAUUUCUUUUUUCCUCAAACACUGGACCACAGAGAUUGGGAGAGAUAACUGCAACAAUUCAAAGAAAAAUAGCUUCUAUUUUGUGUUGCAGAUCAGAGCAUCAAAGACCUUACUGUCUCUCUUUGGUAUUUAAUAAAUGGGGGAGGAGGGGAAGAUACAGUUUAGUGUUAACGCAGACUGAAAAAGGGCAAUGCUGAGCCACACAGCUCAAUGAAACAGAAGAAAAAUACUUAAUCAUUUCUGAAGGUCACUGGGUCUAUGGGAGGCAGCACACUUUUUUUUUACCUGGAGAAGAAUAUGAUUCUGUAGUUUGUUUACUACUUCCUGAAAAUACAUUUUGCACAGCUAAAAACAGCAAAACAAGAGGUAACAUUAAAAAAGCUACCAUUGCAGUGUCCUCUCUGACACUGGGCCGCACCUGCAUCUGCUGCAUCUCCCAUCUCUCUCAUCACUCACUGUAUCAUACAAACCAAACCCCAAAUCAACAAAACUAGAAAAUACCAAAAAGCAGCACCACAUUUGAUCUUGUUUAUGGAUUGCAGCACUCACUCAGACAGGAGCCUUUUUGCACUUCCCAGCUUCAAAA